rnacentral:tRNA from 1 species
GGCAAGGUGGCCGAGCGGUCCAAGGCGUCAGGUUAAGGUCACACCUUAAUACGCAGCUUUCAGCUUCCUGAUCAUCGUUUGAUGGCGUGGGUUCGAAUCCCACCCUUGUCA